rnacentral:tRNA from 1 species
GGAGAGGUGUCAGAGUGGUCUAAUGUGCUCGCUUGGAAAGCGUGUGUACGGCAACGUACCGGGGGUUCGAAUCCCCCCCUCUCCG